rnacentral:lncRNA from 1 species
AGUCACAUAAAUUCUGAUUCAUGGCUGGCACAUGUCUCUUUAAAAUUUUCAGUUCUGGGGUUCCGCGUGUUAUUUUUAAAAACAUAACUGAUGUGAGGGCAGGUGCCACUCGGGAGAUUGAAGCAAGAGGAUCACAAGUUCAAGGAAAUGGAGAAGCCUGUUCUAAGUUCACUUGAAGCCAAAUUACAAAGGAGCAGACGGGAUCCCAGAAACAAAGAUGGCACCAG